ensembl:lncRNA
UAAUGAUCUGCUAGGGAGUGUGGGGAGCCACAGCCCUGUCCUUUAUGGUAUGAAGCAGGUAUGGAGGAGAUCAAAACUCCAGACAUCCAGAGGCCCCCAGAGCACAAGAGACCAAGGAAGACCCACAGAGGGGCAGCCGCGCCACUGUUCUAGUAAGAGCUGAGGAGAGUCCCAGAUGAGGGCUCAUUCAGCAGCCGCGGAGCAGAAGCCAGGGGGAGCUGCAGUGACCUGCCCGUGAGCUCCGCCGGCAGCCAGCUGUGCCUGAAACAGUGCUUUUCUAUGAAUGACAAGAAAACCAUAACAGCAUCCCAAAGAAACAUCACUGAGUCUGGACAGAACGUCAAUCUGACAUGUCGAGCCCAAAACAACAACAUCAUGGUUUUAGAGUGAAGCAGACCUGACCUGGAGGCAGAACACAUCUUUGUUUUUCGGAACAAGAUGUUUGAAAUAGAAAACCAGCAUCAGUCUUUUAAGGGGCAGUGAUGAACUUUUGUUACUAGUGGCUGCACAAGCCAGAAAGUAUCAACGACCGGAUUUGGUGUCUGGUAGUAACAGCUCAACACUGCCCCUAGUGUCCUGGAGCACUUCCGUUGUGUUUUGGAGUUUGUACAUGCUUUCUCUCUAGGGGCCACCAUAGGAAAGCCAUCAAAUCACAACACUGGUUGCUUCAAGGCGCUUUAUAUUGUAAGGUAAAGAUCCAAGAAGAGUACAGAGAAAAUGUCAACAAUCACAUGACCCUAUGAGCAAGCGGUUUGGCGAGGUGAAAAACACAUGUGAUCGGUGUUUGCAGCACGUGAUCAUGUUCCUGUAGGUCUCACUGAAAACCUGCUGAUCCAGUUCCAAACUGGCAGAAGCCAUCUGAAUUCAGCUCCAGGCAACAGCAGAUGAAAAACACACAGAGACAAACUGAAGCACUGAGGGGUGAAAAACACUCGAUCACUUUUAUCCUCAAGCUGAUCUUUAAACAUCAACAAUUAAAGUUAUAGAUCAUUUGUCCUGUCUGUAGAACAUGCGAUGUUAAAUAGAUGAUACUGAUCUUUUUGACUAAAAUCUGUGACUAUUUGUAGCUCAUUAAUUUAAUAAGUGUGUUUAAGAUUUCAAGUGUGG